rnacentral:misc_RNA from 1 species
GAAAUGCGAUAAGUAAUGUGAAUUGCAGAAUUCAGUGAAUCAUCGAAUCUUUGAACGCACCUUGCGCUCCCUGGUAUUCCGGGGAGCAUGCCUGUUUGAGUGUCAUGGUAUUCUCAACCUUCAUAACUUUUUGUUAUUGAAGGCUUGGACUUGGAGGCUUGUGCUGGCUCUUGUUAGUCGGCUCCUCUUAAAUGCAUUAGCGUGAGUGUUACAGAUCGCUUCGGUGUGAUAAUUAUCUGCGCCGUAGUGUUGAAGUAAAACUAAGCUUGCGCUUCUAACCGUCCUUCACUGGACAAUAACCUUUGACAUCUGGCCUCAAAUCAGGUAGGACUACCCGCUGAACUUAA